rnacentral:rRNA from 1 species
UAAAGUGGUACGUGAGCUGGGUUUAAAACGUCGUGAGACAGUUUGGUCCCUAUCUGCCAUGGGCGUUGGAAAUUUGAAGGGACCUGCUCCUAGUACGAGAGGACCGGAGUGGACAGAUCUCUGGUGUACCGGUUAUCACGCCAGUGGUAUUGCCGGGUAGCUAAAUCUGGAAGAGAUAACCGCUGAAAGCAUCUAAGCGGGAAACUCGCCUUGAGAUAAGAUUUCCCUUAGGCCUUGAGCCUUCUAAAGAGUCGUUCGAGACUAGGACGUUGAUAGGCUGGGUGUGGAAGCGCAGUAAUGCGUUAAGCUAACCAGUACUAAUUGCUCGUGAGGCUUGAUCCU